GCCUGGGUGGCUCAGCUGGUUAAGCGUCUGACUUCAGCUCAGGUCAUGAUCUCAAGGUUUGUGAGUUUGAGCCCCUCUUCGGGCU
rnacentral:tRNA from 1 species